rnacentral:rRNA from 1 species
AGGGAAUCUUCCGCAAUGGGCGAAAGCCUGACGGAGCAACGCCGCGUGAGUGAUGAAGGUCUUCGGAUCGUAAAACUCUGUUAUUAGGGAAGAACAAAUGUGUAAGUAACUAUGCACGUCUUGACGGUACCUAAUCAGAAAGCCACGGCUAACUACGUGCCAGCAGCCGCGGUAAUACGUAGGUGGCAAGCGUUAUCCGGAAUUAUUGGGCGUAAAGCGCGCGUAGGCGGUUUUUUAAGUCUGAUGUGAAAGCCCACGGCUCAACCGUGGAGGGUCAUUGGAAACUGGAAAACUUGAGUGCAGAAGAGGAAAGUGGAAUUCCAUGUGUAGCGGUGAAAUGCGCAGAGAUAUGGAGGAACACCAGUGGCGAAGGCGACUUUCUGGUCUGUAACUGACGCUGAUGUGCGAAAGCGUGGGGAUCAAACAGGAUUAGAUACCCUGGUAGUCCACGCCGUAAACGAUGAGUGCUAAGUGUUAGGGGGUUUCCGCCCCUUAGUGCUGCAGCUAACGCAUUAAGCACUCCGCCUGGGGAGUGCGACCGCAAGGUUG